AGAGAGAGACAUGCGCGCAUAUCAAUAAGCGGAGGAAAAGAAACUAACAAGGAUUCCCUUAGUAACGGCGAGUGAAGCGGGAAGAGCUCAAAUUUGAAAUCUUCAAGGUUCUACCUUGACGAAUUGUAGUUUAAAGAAGUGUUUUCUGCUGAAGUUUUGGUAAAAGUUCUUUGGAAUAGGACAUCAUAGAGGGUGAGAAUCCCGUAUUUGACCAUUAUUUUCAGCUUUGUGAUACACUUUCAAAGAGUCGGAUUGUUUGGGAAUGCAGUCCAAAAUGGGUGGUAAAUUUCAUCUAAAGCUAAAUAUUGGCGAGAGACCGAUAGCGAACAAGUACCGUGAGGGAAAGAUGAAAAGAACUUUGAAAAGAGAGUUAAACAGUACGUGAAAUUGUCAAAAGGGAAGCGUUUGACACCAGUGUUGUUUUCUCGAAAAUCAAUUAAAAAUGGCUCGAUUUUGUAUUGCUUGAGACCUUAAAAGCUCACUGUACAUUUUUCGUGUCUUUUUUAAUGCACUUUUCGUUUAACAAGUCAACAUCAGUUUCUUUUGUUGUAAAAGGGUCAUUGGAAGGUGGCUUUCCUUUCGGAGAAAGUGUUUAUAGCCUUUGGCCUCUGCAAUCGGAGAGACUGAGGUCUGCAGCGUAGACUCUUCGGGGUUAGAUACAUUUGUGCUAAGUUAUAGCUUUUCAUAGACAACUUGUUGACUAUAAUUAGUCUUGUAGCUUACUCGCUUAUGCUAUUUUACCUACGCUUAGGAUGUUGAAGAUGUAGCACAUCAU
rnacentral:rRNA from 1 species